GGGUAGGGGGUCGAGUCCCAUGACAGAGGGCAGUUAAUCCUUGUAGGUGGCUGAUUUAUUAUACAGGCCAUUGUUUCUUGCUCCCCAACCUGAGCAUACACAUCCUGGGUGCUGAUUUAACUUGUCCAGCAAAUAGGACUUCCUGGCAUUUUAAGCAUAACAGAAUCCUGCUAGACCCCUGGGCUGUCCCUCUCCUGUUCCUCUGGAUGCCACUCAGAUCUCUUCACGCCCGUCUCACUCACCAGCACUGAGCAAACAGGGAGCACCCUGCUCCUUUGCCUGCCUGUCAUCUGGGUCAUGAUCACUUGUUUAUCCAGUUUGACUUCCCUCUCAUCAUCUAUCCUGGCUUCUCUGCACUCUGACAAAAUCCGAUGCAUACGCUUGACCUCUCACCCUGGAUCCUGUUGGGGCAAAACCCAUUUUUAUCCUAGGCCUGACGACUGUGGUGAGGUGGCCUUUUCUUUCUGGGUGCGGCCACAUCUGCAGAAACGAGCUCCUGGGGGAGAUAAACAGGCUUCGCCUCCUGAGCCUGGGUUGCUAGCUGCUGUGGUAAUUGGCUUGGCAGUUGGCAGCGCACUCCCUGUAAAGGUUGUCCUUCAGCUGAUACUUGGUGAAAGCUGCAAGGCCAACCCCCUUGGGAGUUCCCGUAGACAGCAGCUGUCUUGUCUAAUUAAGGAGAGACAGGGAAAAGGUGUUUUGAAGGGAGACCUCUUAUCUCACAGAACAGUUGGCGGGAGCUGAACAUCUGGAGGGAAGAUAGGAAGGCCGAGGCAGAGGACAUAGUGGCCGCAGCCUGCAACACUUGGCAGAAAAUGCUUUGCUGGCAGUUGAGGAUAAUGUUUGAAUGUUUUCUAAGGACUUAAUGUAUCCUCUGUAGUCACCUGGGCAAUAGAUCCCAUGCUUAUUAAAACAUGUUGUGCACAACACAGCACUGUAAAGCAACCAUACUUCAGUAAAAUUAAAAAGAGAUUUUGUGCACUUAAGGCUCCAGGUGUCCCACAAUACUUGGAUACAGAUAGGAAGUACUUUUCAUAUCCUGCCAAAAUAAAAAAUCCUGAAACAACUGAGCGAAACUCGGGAACCUUACCGAUAUUUCAGUGGGGUAUGACUUUAGUCAUUUAGAACUGCUUAAGAAAUUUUGGGACUAUUCUGAGCCUAAGCUGUCAAGAUCCAUAGUGAAGACCUGAGUUUUAGGGGUGAAUUCCCUUUACACUUGAGAGCAGCAGUGUCUGUAGAAAUAUAAUGUGAAUCCACAUGCAUAACUUAACAUUUCCUAAUAGCCACUUGUAUUACCUUCCUAAGGCUGCCGUAGCAAAUGAUCACCAACAGGGUGGGUUAAGCAAAAGAAAAUUCCUUUAAUUCAGUUUUGGAGGCCAGAGGUUUGAAAUCAAGGUGUCGACAGGGCCAUGCUCCCUCUGAAGGGUCUGAAAAGAAUCCUUCUUGGCCUAGUCCCCCAGCAUCUGGUGGCUCCUGGCAUUCCUUAGCUGCCUUUGGCUUGAUAGACCUGUCUCUCCAGUCUCUGCCUUUGUCUUCACAUGGGAUCUUUCCAUGUGUCCAAGUCUCACUCUCGUCUUUCUCUUAUAAAACUACUAAUUACUGGAGUUCCCUUCAUAUCUCAGUGAUUAAUGAACUGGACUAGGAUCCGUGAGGAUGCAAGUUCGGUCCCAGGCCUCACUCAGUGGGUUAAGGAUCUGGCAUUGCUGUGAGCUGUGGUGUAGGUCGCAGAUGCGGCUCAGAUCCUGAGUUGCUGUGGCUAUGGUGUAGGUGGGCGGCUACAGCUCUGAUUCGACCCCUAGCCUGGGAACUUCCAUAUGUCACAAGUGGAGCCCUAAAAUAGCAAAAAAAAAAAAAAAAAAA
ensembl:lncRNA